rnacentral:rRNA from 1 species
UAGUCUCGCACAGAUGCAUAUCAAUAAGCGGAGGAAAAGAAACUAACAAGGAUUCCCCUAGUAACGGCGAGUGAAGCGGGAAGAGCUCAAAUUUGAAAUCUUAAAGGGUUUCCCUUUACGAAUUGUAGUUUAAAGAAGUGUUUUCUGUUGAGGUUUUGGUAAAAGUUCUUUGGAAUAGGACAUCAUAGAGGGUGAGAAUCCCGUAUUUGACCUUUACUUUCAACUUUGUGAUACACUUUCAAAGAGUCGGAUUGUUUGGGAAUGCAGUCCAAAAUGGGUGGUAAAUUUCAUCUAAAGCUAAAUAUUGGCGAGAGACCGAUAGCGAACAAGUACCGUGAGGGAAAGAUGAAAAGAACUUUGAAAAGAGAGUUAAACAGUACGUGAAAUUGUCAAAAGGGAAGCGUUUGACACCAGUGUUGUUUUUCUGAAAAUCAAUUAAAGAACUGUUUAUGCUAAGUUGUUUAGACUUUAUCAGCUAACUGUUUAGUUUUGAGCUUUUCUUUAAUGCACUUUUCAGUUAACAAGUCAACAUCAAUUUCUUUUGCUGUAAAAAAGCUUGAGGAAGGUGGCUUGAGAUUCGUCUUAAGUGUUUAUAGCCUCUUGCCUAUGCAGUCGGAGAGAUUGAGGUCUGCAGCGUAGAUCCUUCGGGGCUAAAUGCAUUUGUGCUAAGUUAUAGCAUUUUAUAGACAACUUGUUGACUAUGAUUUGUCUUGUAGCUUACUCGCUUAUGUUAUUUUACCUACGCUUAGGAUGUUGAAGACUCUACAGAGAUA